rnacentral:rRNA from 1 species
GUUAAGGAUCCUUCCACCCGCUUGCGGGAGCCUUUGCAGCUGGAGACAGUGUGCCUGGCGACUCUAAACAAUCCGGUGCCUCGUGCAAGUCGGCGUCUGCGGCGACACUUUCGAAUUGCGGGGAACCCCUAAGAGCCCUCCACACCAACCCAGCCGGGAAAUCGGCUGGUGGCCCAUCGGAAACCAUGGGGUACGGUAACAGUGGGAGGGAUGAUCCUGCAGGCGGCAGGUGAAAUGGGCGAUCCGCAGCGAAGCCCCUGGCGCCCACGUGGCAUGGGGAACGUUCACAGACUAAGCGGAAGUGGGUAGAGCUCCGUCUCUGCUUAAGAUAUAGUCGGUCCCCCCGGGAAACCGGGUGGGAGGAACCAUGAAAGAAAACGUUCCGUAGGUGAACCUGCGGAAGGAUCAUUACCUGGACGAGAAUCGGUCGGGGGCUUCCCCCCCGUCCGGCGAUCGUUACCACCCUCCUUCACACGCACCGACGUCCUUCCUCGGCGGGGUCGACCCGCCGGUGGAACGUUCGCAAACCCUUCUCGUGCAUCUCAGCAGUACACCGUUCCGAUGAGAAUUUCAAUCGUUACAAUCUUCAACAAUGGAUCUCUUGGCUCUGGCAUCGAUGAAGAACGCAGCGAAAUGCGAUAAGUAGUGUGAAUUGCAGAAUCCAGUGAAUCAUCGAAUCUUUGAACGCACAUUGCGCCCCUCGGUAUUCCGUGGGGCAUGCCUGUUCGAGCGUCAUCUCAAGACUCAAGCAACCCCUUGCUUGGUGUUGGGCGUCUGUCCGCGCGACUCGCCCCAAAGACAUUGGCAGCCCAGGCCGUCCACCCGCCCGCAGCACAGUCGCGUCGGCGGGUCGCACGGCGGCCUCGGCGCACCAGCAAGCCCGUCUCUCCACGUCUUGACCUCGGUAUC